AGUGAACGCUGGCGGUAGGCCUAACACAUGCAAGUCGAACGGCAGCACAGUAAGAGCUUGCUCUUACGGGUGGCGAGUGGCGGACGGGUGAGGAAUACAUCGGAAUCUACUUUUUCGUGGGGGAUAACGUAGGGAAACUUACGCUAAUACCGCAUACGACCUACGGGUGAAAGCAGGGGAUCUUCGGACCUUGCGCGAUUGAAUGAGCCGAUGCCGGAUUAGCUAGUUGGCGGGGUAAAGGCCCACCAAGGCGACGAUCCGUAGCUGGUCUGAGAGGAUGAUCAGCCACACUGGAACUGAGAAACGGUCCAGACACCUACGGGAGGCAGCAGUGGGGAAUCUUAGACAAUGGGCGCAAGCCUGAUCCAGCCAUACCGCGUGAGUGAAGAAGGCCUUCGGGUUGUAAAGCCCUUUUGUUGGGAAAGAAAAGCAGCAGGUUAAUACCCCGCUGUUCUGACGGUACCCAAAGAAUAAGCACCGGCUAACUUCGUG
rnacentral:rRNA from 1 species